rnacentral:rRNA from 1 species
UACAGGGGGGGCAAGCGUUGUUCGGAAUUACUGGGCGUAAAGGGUUCGUAGGCGGCCAACUAAGUCAGACGUGAAAUCCCUCAGCUUAACUGGGGAACUGCGUCUGAUACUGGAUGGCUUGAGUGCAGGAGAGGAAUGCGGAAUUCCAGGUGUAGCGGUGAAAUGCGUAGAUAUCUGGAGGAACACCGGUGGCGAAGGCGGCAUUCUGGACUGUAACUGACACUGAGGAACGAAAGCCAGGGGAGCAACGGG